rnacentral:lncRNA from 1 species
AUGCAUAUGUUACAAAGUAAUUUUCAGAGAUGGUUGAAAUACUGAAGCCUUUGAGAAACACUCAUAGAUGUUCAAUAUUUCUUUCAGGUCAUCAGAUUUUGGGACAUUAUAUACAAAGCUGAAUUUGCAGCCUGGGAUUGCCACAGUCAUUGACAACUUCUAUAUCUGUCCCACCAACAAAAAAAAGCUGGAGGAUACAUGUGCAAUGAGAUAGUUUGAUAAUUCCACGCUACAACUGCAAUUAAAAGAAAGUUUAUUGGCCUAUCUGUCCUGUUGUCCUGCUUCUAAACCCAGCUGCCCACUGAGAGUUCCAGUGGAUUGAGAGGAAGAUAUUAAAACGAAAGGACUGUAAGUAAUUUUAAAGAGCUCUUUCAUACCUCAAACCCUCAGUCUUGUAGUGCGC